rnacentral:lncRNA from 1 species
GAUGAGUGGUUCCUAGAGCAUGAAGGUUGGGGUGACACCCUUAACAAGUGGUGAACCCGACAUGUGACUAUAAUCUAGUGUUUUUCUUUGUUUUUCUUCUUCAUCUCUGGGGGAUCUGGAGUUGGAUUUGGGCGUCAUGUGAGUGGAAUUCAAGUUCUUAGUUGAAUUGGGGUCUUGGCUAUGGUGGCAAUCUCCUUUCCAUGAGUUCUCUUAGCACUAUUUUUCUUGCUGUUUGUUUCUAGUGAUAGGUUGAGGUGCAGCAUGGCCCAAGAUUCAUUUAGAUUGGGUGCAUGCAAGGCAAUUCAUGGUCAACACCCUAUUUUUCCAUGAAAAGAAGUCCAGCAAUUUGUGCAGCCAAUGGUGCACAUCUGGAGCAGAAGAGAAUAGGCCUCCCAACCAUAGGAUAAAUAUCAUAGAAUAUUCUUGGAAUAUUUCUGUGGUCUUGUAUAUGAACAAGCAGCAUUGUGAAGAGAGUCUAAAGCAAUACAACCAUAUGUAAAUGGCAACAAUAAUGUUGUGAUAAACAGCCAUGAAAAUAAGAAAGCAAUAUGGCUUUUUUGCAUGACAAUAUAGUUAUAGAAAUAAAAGAAUGAGG